GUAAAUUCGGAGGAGGAUUCUCUGACUUUUGAGUGGGAACUACCCUCUGCCUUUUUCUCUAUCUCUCACAAAAAAUGCAAUAUCUCUCCUAUUAUUUCCCUCCUUUUAUUCAUCUAUUUCUCAAUUCUCUGUCAUGAAAAUUUCCUGAAGUUAGAGAAAAUUGGGAAAUGCAAAGUUAGAGGAUCUGGUUCCAGCAAAUUCAUAGAGCUCUUGCUAGUUUCUAUUUUUCUAUCCACCAGCAAAUUGUUUUCUUCAAGAAACCCUUUUUCUUAUACUUUCUCAAAAUCAAACCCAUUCCUUUUCGUGGUCAAAACUUCAUCCAAAGAAGAGUAUGAGGUAGGGAUGCUAUGGAUCCUGGUAGAUCAACUGACAAGACUUGCCACCAUGUUUCUUCUGCUCUUCAUUUUAUUUUCAGAUAAAUAG